AUCUACGGCCAUGCCACCCUGAAUGUGCCCGAUCUUGUCUGAUCUUGGAAGCUAAGCAGGAUCGGGUGUGGUUAGUACUUGGAUGGGAGACCACCUAGAAAUUCCAGAUGCUGUAGGCA
rnacentral:rRNA from 1 species